AAUAUCAGAGCGCAAAUCUUCUCUCCAUUUUGAUCAGAAAUCCCAGAGCUUCGAUUAGAAAUCCAAAAGGUAGAAGACGAAUCUCAAACUUCACCUGGCGUCAUUGCCCAAACCCGAUCGGUCACCUACAUGCCCCGACCCAACGACGGAGCUCUGAGUGCCAAAACAUAAUCCCCGGCGACGGAAUCGGACCGCUCGUAAUGAACGCCGUCGAGCAGGUGAUGGAGUCUCUCGUCGCGAACGAGAGUUGCAGCACAUUUUGCGUGUUCUGAACACCAAUGUGGAUGGAAAUCAGAAGAUCAUGUUCGCUCUGACCUCCAUCAAGGGUAUCGGUCGCCGUUUAGCCAACAUCGUCUGCAAGAAGGCCGAUGUCGACAUGAACAGGAGAUACAGAUGCAGCUAGCGUGGGUUUUGUAAACCAAACCGCCCUGCGAAGUUGGAGAAAGAACCCUCCGUGUCGAGAAAUUUAGCUCUUUCCGUUCCUUCUCUGCAAACUCGAUUAUCAACAGGCGCUUCGCUUUAUAUAUACAGAUACAGAUGCAGCUAGCGUGGGUUUUGUAAACCAAACCGCCCUGCGAAGUUGGAGAAAGAACCCUCCGUGUCGAGAAAUUUAGCUCUUUCCGUUCCUUCUCUGCAAACUCGAUUAUCAACAGGUAAUUCACAUCCCUGAUUUUUUGUGUAGAUAGAUUUGGGAUUUCUCUGAAUUGCAGAUAUUUUUCUCAAGAGUUGCAACUUGGUUACAGCUAAAAUUUAUGGGAAGCUAAAUUUGGUAGGUGAUAGGAAGUGAUUAGGUGAAAUUGGUUAUGCAUAAAAAGUGAGGCUGAAAGAGUUUGUUGUCUAAGUUUCAGAUGUUCAAUUUCUUUUCUUUUUUUGUUUUUAAGUUGUAUGCUGAGGUUUUUAAGCUUUGGCGUUAAUUUUUCCCUUGUGCUAUUGACCUAAUGUAAUGAGCUAAGAACCAGGGGUACUUAUAUAUAGUUGCUUCUUGGCUACCAUCUGCGGAGUGAGUAUCCUGAGAAGAAUAAAAGGAAACUUUGUGAAUCUUCAUUGCUGAAAAGGAAAAGGAUUAUGGGACAUGGAAACCAGAUCUAGGGGAAGAUGCUGGUACAAUUCAUCUCCCGAAUCCAAUUAAUGGGUUUGGGACUCCAGCUGAUCUCUGUCAAAUCCACAGAAGUCUUCCAGAGGCAGCCACAAGACCUCCUUAUUUUUACUAUGAGAAUGUGGCAUUGACUCCUGAAGGAGUUUGAGGCACAAUAUCCCGCUUUUUGUAUGACGUGAAGCCUGUGCAGACUGAGCUAUGCAUUUAGUGAGAACAAAUCAUGCUAUGGUCUCAUAAGAAAAAGCCCUCGGUGCCUUUUUCGUUUGGUCUCUUUUAAGCUAUUUUUGGUUAAAAUGACAUUUUUUUUUCCCGGAGUUCUUAGCAA